rnacentral:rRNA from 1 species
UACGAAGGGGGCUAGCGUUGUUCGGAAUUACUGGGCGUAAAGCGCGCGCAGGCGGUUCUCCAAGUCAGUGGUGAAAGCCCGGAGCUCAACUCCGGAAUUGCCAUUGAAACUGUUGAACUUGAGGAUGAGAGAGGUGAGUGGAAUUCCCAGUGUAGAGGUGAAAUUCGUAGAUAUUGGGAAGAACACCGGUGGCGAAGGCGGCUCACUGGCUCAUUACUGACGCUCAGGCGCGAUAGCGUGGGGAGCGAACAGG